AUUGAACGCUGGCGGCAGGCCUAACACAUGCAAGUCGAACGAGUGGCGGACGGGUGAGUAAUGUCUGGGAAACUGCCUGAUGGAGGGGGAUAACUACUGGAAACGUUAGCUAAUACCGCAUACCAUCGGAUGUGCCCAGAUGGGAUUAGCUAGUAGGUGGGGUAAAGGCUCACCUAGGCGACGCUCCCUAGCUGGUCUGAGAGGAUGACCAGCGAAAUUGGAACUGAGACACGGUCCAGACUACUACGGGAGGCAGCAGUGGGGAAUAUUGCACAAUGUUCGCAAGCCUGAGGCAGCCAUGCCGCGUGUAUGAAGAAGGCCUUCGGGUUGUAAAGUACGUUCAGCGGGGAGGCGUUACCCGAAGAAGAAGCACAGGCUAACUCCGUGCCAGCAGCCGCGGUAAUAC
rnacentral:rRNA from 1 species